GACGAACGCUGGCGGCGUGCUUAACACAUGCGAGUCGAACGGAAAGGCCCUGCUUUUGUGGGGUGCUCGAGUGGCGAACGGGUGAGUAACACGUGAGUAACCUGCCCUUGACUUUGGGAUAACUUCAGGAAACUGGGGCUAAUACCGGAUAGGAGCUCCUGCUGCAUGGUGGGGGUUGGAAAGUUUCGGCGGUUGGGGAUGGACUCGCGGCUUAUCAGCUUGUUGGUGGGGUAGUGGCUUACCAAGGCUUUGACGGGUAGCCGGCCUGAGAGGGUGACCGGCCACAUUGGGACUGGGAUACGGCCCAGACUCCUACGGGAGGCAGCAGCGGGGAAUAUUGCACAAUGGGCGGAAGCCUGAUGCAGCAACGCCGCGUGCGGGAUGACGGCCUUCGGGUUGUAAACCGCUUUCGCCUGUGACGAAGCGUGAGUGACGGUAAUGGGUAAAGAAGCACCGGCUAACUACGUG
rnacentral:rRNA from 1 species